GCAGAAGGCUUGGAACAGCUGGGGUUCGGCUGACAUACGAAAGCCCUUGACUGCUUGUCUUUCCACCUCUUGAGUAAACACUGACUUGAUAGAAGAAUGUGGAUGAUCAUUGCUGCACCAGUCAAAUUGGGAGGACAUGAAAAGCACGGUUCAUUAUCACCGGUUUUUACAAUAAUUUCUGCUGAGAAAGAAGAGAUCUGUAUCUCUGAUGAAAAGGCCUCAGAACAAUGAAGGACACAGAUAACACACGGAGUUCCUGUGUGGGUCUUUGGGACAUUUUUCAGAUUUUCCACCAGGUGAGGGUAAAACACGAAGCAGAAGUGGGCAUCUUGGAAGAUGAAUCAAGCUGACACUCUGGUCUCAGAUUUCCAUGCUCCAGAACUGUGAGAAAUAAACUUCUGUUAUUUAUAAGACUUCCAAAAAAUAAAAAAGACUUCCAGUCUAUGGUCAUUUAUUA